CCGCGGUGGCGCACCGCGGGGUCGCCGAUCAGGGCGGCGAGCUCGGUCAGGGCCGGGAUCGCCUCCCGGAUCUCGGCC
rnacentral:tRNA from 1 species